UGGUAAUUGUAUUGGAGUUUGUUUGGAAGAGUGAUAUGGUUUGGCUGUGUCCCCACCCAAAUCUCAACUUGAAUUCUAUCUCCCAGAAUUCCCAUGAGUUGUGGAAGGGACCCAGGGGGAGGUAAUUGAAUCAUGGGGGCUGGUCUUUCCUGUGCUAUUCUCGUGAUAGUGAAUAAGUCUCAGGAGACCUGAUGGGCUUAUCAGAGGU
rnacentral:lncRNA from 1 species